rnacentral:rRNA from 1 species
GGUGAACGCUGGCGGCGUGCCUAAGACAUGCAAGUCGAGCGGGGCAGGUUUAUACCUGUUCAGCGGCGGACGGGUGAGUAACGCGUGGGUGACCUACCCGGAAGAGGCGGACAACCUGGGGAAACCCAGGCUAAUCCGCCAUGUGGUCCUGUCCUGUGGGGCAGGACUAAAGGGUGGAUAGCCCGCUUCCGGAUGGGCCCGCGUCCCAUCAGCUAGUUGGUGGGGUAAAGGCCCACCAAGGCGACGACGGGUAGCCGGUCUGAGAGGAUGGCCGGCCACAGGGGCACUGAGAAAGGGGCCCACUCCUACGGGAGGCAGCAGUUAGGAAUCUUCCGCAAUGGACGGAAGUCUGACGGAGCGACGCCGCUUGGAGGAGGAAGCCCUUCGGGGUGUAAACUCCUGAACUGGGGACGAAAGCCCUGUGUAGGGGGAUGACGGUACCCAGGUAAUAGCGCCGGCCAACUCCGUG